ensembl:lncRNA
UGUGUAUUUAGGAUAUAUUAAAUGCUAGCUGUGAAUUUAACCUAUAGUGAGACAAACAUGUCAUAUUCCAAAAAUAUUAAAUGCUAUACAUUUUAUAAGAAGUAGUGGAAGUGACACUGUGGUGGGAAUUUAUAAGUAAAUAAGAAAGAAAGAAAGAAGGAAAAAGAAUGAAUGAUCCAGAAACACUUGUAUAUUGAAUAUGCAUACAAUAUACAAAUACAUGCACAGUCAGGCAUGCGCUCAUAAAGAUGCUAAAAAUAAAUGUGAACUCGACAAUGUUUUAUAAAAAGGAGAGUGUAUUUGCCUUGUGGAUCCACAAUAUAUCCCAUAAGCUUGUUGUUAAAUGGGGUACAGAUAUUUCUAUGUCACAGAAGUUAAUGUGUUAAGCUGGGAAUGUUUGGCACGUUGUAUGUCUUACAUAAACAGACAUUCAUUUCCAGGUCAUUGUGAGGUCAGAGUGCAGUCUUUCACUCCCAAUGGAGGAAACAUGAUCAGUGAUGUUGGAUAUCUCAGCGCUGAACAACUGGAGAGACACAGGUCUGUCAGACUAUCUGUGUGUUUAUUUAUACAGUAUGUGCAUUGUGACAUAAUCAUAUGUAGAGUGCUUAGUAUUUCCUUUGGUACAGAUGGCAGGCCUCACAACACUACAUAAUGAGAGUGUGUGGAAGGACACAGAUCCUGGAACCAAGUCUCAUGUCUGUCUGAAGCAUUACAGAGGCACCCAUACGAAGGAUGAUUGUGGGCCAGGGGUCGACGUUGAAUCAGAUUGGGAUGGAAUGCUCCUGAGAUCAGAGAACAGAGGACAGAGAAGGAGGGGCUGUACCAGGUCAAACUCCAUCAGUUAUUCCCAUCACUACCAUGCCCUUAACAUUUCUAUGUUUAACAAGGAUUUAGAGGAGGAUUCUGUCUGUCAAAGCACAAGAUCAGGACUGUGUUAUUUGCAAAUACAUAAGAGCUCCAUACUACUGCUAAUGAAUGAAGAAUGAAUAUUUGAAUUUGUGUGUGUGUGUGUGUGUGGGUGUGUGUGAUGUUAUAUUAGCAGUUAUACUAGUUCUGCUAUACUAGUUGUACUGUACUUUCCAUUUGUAAUACUGGAUCAAUAUCCAUUGUUUUCAAAGUUCUAAGGGGUCAUGUGACCCAUUAUUUUGGUGUAAGGACAUGUGAACUUGAUCUGGAGAAAGAAUAUACAAAUAAACAUCAUUAAUUGUGGAUGAAUGAUGCA